UAGACAAAAUUGAAGAUGCUCAAGAACUUAUAUUCACUAAAGAGCCUGAUCUGUUGAGAGCAUUAAUUCCAGUUCAAGCUAUGCAUCUUACCAUUAUUGUAGCUGAUCUGAGAACAGAAGAUGUGAAAAGGGCUAUUUCUGCUCUUGAGAAAAGUAAGGCCAAAGUGGAAGCUCCGUUGCAAGGGAAAUGCUUCACAAUAACAUUUUGUGGGAUUGGUCAGUUUAACAACUAAGUGAUAUAUGUUAAAAUAUUAGAGGAAGAUGAACAAAUAUUAAACAAAAUUGCAGAAACUGUGGAGAGCUCAUUUAAUGAAAUGAAUAUAGAUAUCAUAGGCAGCAAAGACUUCAAACCACACUUGAUGUUUCUGAAGCUGUCCGAAGCACCUGCACUGAGAUGGAAGGGCUUUAGAAAAAUCUCUGCGGAUUUAUAUACAGUGUAUGAAGACAGCCUCUUUGGCACAGAAAUCUUUGGGCAAAUCGAUCUGUGUGCUAUGUAUGAAAAGAAACAGGAUUCUGGUUACUAUCACUAUGAAUGUUCAAUUAAUAUAUGUCCUGCUAGUUCAGAAAAGCAAGAAGAUUUGCAGACGGAUGAUCUGAAAGAAAAUGUGAUUGGUGCUUCUCUGAAUGAUGGUGCAUUUGGACAUAUUGGAAAAACACCCCUCAAUCAACAAUCGAGUUCAAAUGAAUGACAAACUACUUCAAAAUCUUGAUGGUGAUUCAGCCAUGACAAUAAGGGAAGAAACUGAUAUGCAAAAGAUAGAAGACAGAGCCAAGGAUGAAAACUGCUGCAGCUUUCCUAGCAGAUACCUGAAUUUGCACCAGCAAACCCAGAAGAAUUAAAGGAUGAGGAACAAGAAAAAGCCAAGAUGACAGAUGGUGACUUUGGCACUGUUGCAGCAAGAGAACAGGCCUCUCAGCAGCUUACACAAAGGUACCAAGUGUGCCAACCUUCCACUACAAGCAGAGGAAAAUUGCCCCUGGGAACGCAAAGAAAUGUGUAAAGACUGUGCAGCAAGAGAGAGAGCUGCAAGAGAGCAGACUUAAUACAGACUUCUAUUUGAAAGGAAAUAGAAAGUUAUUUUUUAAAACAAAAAACAAAGACACCUGAAAACAUCAGGUUUAUUCCUAAUAAAAGGGUACAUGUGAAAGCCCUCCUAAAAAUAGCUGAAUUGUGUGAGGAGGAACAAAUGAGUUUCUGUUUCCAGUAUAAAUACAUAUGAAUUAGAAACAUAUUAAUUUUGUUUUAAAAAUUAAUUUAAAAAACAGUUUGAAUUUGUUUUUUAUAAUGUGGAUAUUUAAUAGGGAAACAGUUUCAAUAUUUAGAUGGUUUGAUUUUUGUAUUAAAGAAGGAAGCUUUAUUUCAAGAUACUUGCUUAAAGGUGUGGUUAAGAGUAAGUGAUAGCAAGUUGGAAAAAAUUGAUUUUGAAAUAUAUUAAUUAUUAGAUUAAAGUUUAGCUCAAGAAACCUUUAAAACAGGAAGAAACAUGAUGAUGAAGAGACUGUAUAUUAAUAAAUGCAAGGGAUGAAACCAUUAAAUGUUUGUAUUGAUAGAAUUUGCAAUAGAUGUGUGAGCCAAAUUAUUCUGAAUUAAACAAUUCCACUGAGGUGACUUGGCAAAAACAAGACAUAAGAUAUAUUCAGUGGAGCAUCCUAUAGUACUUUAUGCUGCAAGACUAAAUACUGAGGAUGCAGUAAAAUAUUUUGACCAGUAGAUGGCACAAACGGGGAAAUCUGGCUAGACCUGAAGGAAAGGAAGUGAUCCAGAAUCCACUUGAAAAGUUGGAAAUGUAUUUUACUUUAGUGCUGAUGCUUCAGAAACACAGCAGGUAAUUAAAAGAAUACAUUUGCACGUGUUAAAAAUGACAUGCUACCCUCAGUUAAUCUAUCAUACAUCGUGACUUUCAAUGUUGGUGACAAUAAAUAAAGAAGACCUUGUAUCUCAAA